UACGUAGGUGGCAAGCGUUGUCCGGAUUUAUUGGGUUUAAAGGGUGCGUAGGCGGUUCCAUAAGUCAGUGGUGAAAUACAAUAGCUUAACUAUUGAGGUGCCAUUGAUACUGCGGAACUUGAGUACAGACGAGGUAGGCGGAAUUGACGGUGUAGCGGUGAAAUGCUUAGAUAUCGUCAAGAACACCGAUAGCGAAGGCAGCUUACUAGACUGUAACUGACGCUGAGGCACGAAAGUGUGGGGAUCAAACAGGAUUAGAUACCCUGGUAGUCCACACUGUAAACGAUGAUUACUCGAUGUUGGCGAUACACAGCCAGCGUCUUAGCAAAAGCGAUAAGUAAUCCACCUGGGGAGUACGCCGGCAACGGUG
rnacentral:rRNA from 1 species